rnacentral:snRNA from 1 species
GCGUUCACUUUGGCAGCACAUGUACUAAAAUUGGAAUGAUACAGUGGAGAUUAGCAUGGCCCCUGCACAAGGAUGACAUGCAAAUUCAUAAAGCAUUCCAUUUUUAA